CCCUUAGAUGUUCUGGGCCACACGCGCGUUACACUGAUGAAGCCAGCGAGUAUAUCGCCUUCACCGGAAGGUGCGGGUAAUCUUGUGAAACUUCAUCGUGCUGGGGAUAGACCAUUGCAAUUAUUGGUCUUGAACGAGGAAUUCCUAGUAAGCAUGAGUCAUCAACUCGUGCUGAUUACGUCCCUGCCCUUUGUACACACCGCCCGUCGCUACUACCGAUUGAAUGGUUUAGUGAGAUCUCGGGAUUGGAGACGUUGCGCCGCAAGGCACAUCGUCCUCGAGAACUUGAUCAAACUUGAUCAUUUAGAGGAAGUAAAGUCGUAACA
rnacentral:rRNA from 1 species